AAAACAUAGUUGAACAAUCAUAUCAUAAAUCCGGCUCGAUUAUAACAACUUGAGUCAAAACUUCAACCAACAAUUGGUUCGAUCAACCCUAGAUAAUUGUUUAGCUACUCAUAACAAAAUAAGGAAGAACUACUAAAUUGUUCAUAAUGUAAAAUUGCCAGAAUCAAAAAGAGAUAGAAGAACUCUAAUAUUUGGUUGAUCUUCUCACACUUGUUCUUCCUCCAAAAGUAGUCUAAAAUUAGCCUUUUUUUUAGUUGGGCAAAUGUCUAAAGUUUAUAAGGGUUUUACAAAAGUUUCCCCUAAACUACACUUUGGUCCACAACUUCCAGCGAUUGAACAGUUCACCGUGGUCGCGGUCGACCGCGGUGAACGCUGAGCUUUCUGCCUCCUUGAAUUAAUCUGUCGCGGUUCACCGCGGUCGCGGUGGCCUUCUUGCCCGGACCAUUUAUGCUUCUUGAUGUUCGGGUACUUCUCGAGUGGACGUUUUUCUUCACAUUAUCGCCUCCAAAAACACUCCAUGUUGCUUCCUCUCAUAUAAUAUUCCCUGCUAAACAAAAGAACACUAUUUAGAGCAUUUUGUUGGCAAUAUAUCUAUAAAACAACAACAAAGUAUGGUCAUAUUAAGGUGUAAAUAUCAACUAUAUAGCCUACUAUCAUGGCACAACAACUAACAUUGUCGAUUUAGAUAUUCCUAUUGGAAUAGGAGCUAAAGGCUUGUCAUAACCAAACUCGUGGACGAUAGAAUUAUCGUUUAAUUCCAGGGAAUAUAUUUGUUGCUCACUUCUAAUACUCAGAGGCGGAUCUAGAACUUUAAGUUUAUGGGUUCCUAUAACAAUCUCAAGUUAAUCUACAUGAUAACUGGACCAACGAACUGAAUUCCAAGCUAAAUAUUCUUAUACUUUUAAUGAGUUUUUUAGUACAAAUACAGGAUCUAUGCAAAAGUUACUGGGUUUACGGGAACCCGUAACCUUUGCUCUAGAUCCGCCCCUGCUAAUACUCAUAAUUAAACGGUGGAAUGAGGCAAAUAGCAUCGAAGAACCAUAACUAUCUGAAAAAGGCAUUUGUAACCCAAUACACAAAACCUCCUCAUAAUCUUUUCCCUUUAACUAAAUAAUACCUCCUCAAAAUCUAAAAAUCAACCCAACUCAGAAUAUAACAUAUAAUCCAGUUAAAAUACCCUCAACCAUUGCAAUUCACGUAACACUAAAUAAGGAAAAAAGAUUAAUUGACAGAAAAAAAGGAAGAAAAAACAGCAUGUCUAAGUCUCAAUAUUGCAAUCCUAUGAAUUUUCAAAAGGAAACAAAAAUAGAAACAAGACUAUACAUCAUAAUUCAACAAAGAUUAUACUAAAAGGAUCAUUUUAAGCAUUUGAACAGUUACAAUUUCAAAUGAAAACCAAAAUCUACUCCAAAUUCAAAUAGAGAAAAUAUAUCACCCACAGAUAUAUUUAAGUAAUCUGUAAGUCAACAAUCAAAGGAGCAUCAAUUUCUUCCAUCUUGAAUGCUAGCGAUAAAUAAGCCAUAGCUAUGAAAUUUAUGAGCUUUACUUCCCUGUAAAACCAAAAAAGCAAUAUAGCAGAAUGCAGGCAAUCAUCUAUUAUAAUAGAAAGACAAAUUGCAUGCAUCUAUGUUGAAAUUGUAGAAAAUUCAUAGAACAAUAGAAAUUGAUUUGCAUAGUUUAUUAACAUACAAAAACACAUCCCUCCAAACCCAGAACAGAUAUGACCCUUC
rnacentral:lncRNA from 1 species